CGGGUUAUAAACACCCAGUAAUCGAUAGGAGACGUGGGAGGUUGGGGGGAGAGGCUUUAUGGGGUUGCCUUUUGUUUUUAAAUAGAUCCCAGUUAGGCCUGGGAUUUGGGCUGUGGUAGGAGGGGAUGGAGGUGAGGCUCUGGAGAGAGACAGAGAGAGAGAGUCGGAGAGGCUCAUGUGGUUCCAGGCACUCGCUGUGUAUGUUAAUUGAGGUUAUGCACUUACUGUGCUGUGAGCAUUAUAACGGUGCAGUCAUAACACUUGACAAAAGGUGGGCCAAAUGGACAGUUAUCUAACGAAUCUUCCAGUCUAGAUGACCAGACGACAGGUCCGGAACGGAGAUCCCCAACGGAGAUCCCCAACCCAGACAUCCCCUGGCAAUUCCUGUGAUCCUUGGCAGCUUCCAGAAAACCUACCAAGGUAGA